UACGGGGGGGGCAAGCGUUGUUCGGAAUUACUGGGCGUAAAGGGCUCGUAGGUGGCCAACUAAGUCAACCGUGAAAUCCCUCGGCUUAACCGGGGAACUGCGUUUGAUACUGGAUGGCUUGAGUUUGGGAGAGGGAUGCGGAAUUCCAGGUGUAGCGGUGAAAUGCGUAGAUAUCUGGAGGAACACCGGUGGCGAAGGCGGUUCUCUGGGACGGUACUGACGCUGAGACGCGAAAGCGUGGGGAGCGAACAGG
rnacentral:rRNA from 1 species